UUGGCUCCUUGCUCAGGGAAUGCCGCCCUUAAAGCAGCAGGCAUCUGCCGGCAGGCCUGAGAGUAGAAGCUGGAGAAGAAACAGAUUGGAGGGUGGAAGGAUGGGGAGAAGAGAAUCCAAACCUCACUCUCCUCCCAGCCCAGAGCCCUGCAGGGAAUGGCUUUGGAACCACCCUGGCCUCAAGUUCAUCUGUAUAUAGCUGAGCAUGACCUUGAACUUCUGGGCCUCCUGCCUCUGUCUUCUAAGUGCUGAGGUUACAGGUUCCUGCCUUGUUUGAGUUCCUGCCGACGUCCUUCAGCAGUGGAGUUUGAGGAUGAGACAAACAACAGACGAGGAGGGCACAGUGCGUCGCCGGGACAGAGACUCCGUGGAUUCCUGGGGGUAGCAGACUCUGGGGUGCUAAUUUAGAUCAUUAAAGCCGAUAAGAAAUAGAGUUACAUAGACAAUAAAGACUUCCUCAGACACUG